rnacentral:rRNA from 1 species
UGUUUGAUGUUCUAACGUGGACCCGUGAUCCGGGUUGCGGACAGUGUCUGGUGGGUAGUUUGACUGGGGCGGUCUCCUCCUAAAGAGUAACGGAGGAGCACGAAGGUUGGCUAAUCCUGGUCGGACAUCAGGAGGUUAGUGCAAUGGCAUAAGCCAGCUUGACUGCGAGCGUGACGGCGCGAGCAGGUGCGAAAGCAGGUCAUAGUGAUCCGGUGGUUCUGAAUGGAAGGGCCAUCGCUCAACGGAUAAAAGGUACUCCGGGGAUAACAGGCUGAUACCGCCCAAGAGUUCAUAUCGACGGCGGUGUUUGGCACCUCGAUGUCGGCUCAUCACAUCCUGGGGCUGAAGUAGGUCCCAAGGGUAUGGCUGUUCGCCAUUUAAAGUGGUACGCGAGCUGGGUUUAGAACGUCGUGAGACAGUUCGGUCCCUAUCUGCCGUGGGCGCUGGAGAACUGAGGGGGGCUGCUCCUAGUACGAGAGGACCGGAGUGGACGCAUCACUGGUGUUCGGGUUGUCAUGCCAAUGGCACUGCCCGGUAGCUAAAUGCGGAAGAGAUAAGUGCUGAAAGCAUCUAAGCACGAAACUUGCCCCGAGAUGAGUUCUCCCUGACCCUUUAAGGGUCCUGAAGGAACGUUGAAGACGACGACGUUG